UCUUCCUUUGCUUCUCAGCAGCCUCCUCGUCCAUUAUGGCACCCAUCACGUUGGUGUAACCCUUCUGGAGCAGCCGGUAGAGCAAGAGCGACGACAUUCUCGCCCUCUCCUUAACAGAAUCGAGGUCCCGUUCGUCCGCCAGCUCGCACCGCUCGAUGAAGCACAUUGCCUUGUCGGGCUUGUGUUUCAGAGACAGAAGCAAAUGCGCUCUCUGUAACUCCGAACGACCACAGCCGCGCCGCAAGCCAAUGAGACCAUGGUAGUCCACGUUGGAGGUAUCUCCCGAAGCUACCCUCUGUUUCAGUUCCUGGAUCUUCGUGGUGAGGGCGCAGAGUUUCCCAGGAAUUUCUCUGGCGCGAACGUUUUGGCGCUUCCAGGCAGGACCUGCGAGUUUGCGGUCGCGCAAGAUGGUGUUGUAGAGGAGUUUGAGAUGUUCGAGGUCAUGGAGUGAAUCUGGGAAGCAACGAAUGGAUUCCAGAAGAGAGGCUCGAGUUUCCAGAGCUUGGAUGCAGGUGGGGUCCAAGGCGAGGGUUCUGUUGCAAUCGGCAAUAGAAUCGGCGAUUCGGCCGGCGGACCGGUGAGCGGAGGCCCUGUGCAUGUAGCACUCGGCGAGGAAGGCCUGCGGGGCACCGCGUCGCCCGUCCACGAUUUUGGAGAAGUGGCGUAUGGCUUCGGAGUGGAGGCCGGCUUCCAGGGCAGCGAGCGCGGCGGCACGGCGCCGGAGGAGGAGCUUUAUGUGGGCGAGGAGUUGGGUCACUGCUUCAGACUCCGGAAGUGGGACCCGGGGUGGGCUUGAGUCGCCGGAGAAGAGGGGGUUCGAGAGGGAGAAGCUAUCGUCGGACCAGCACACGCUCUCGCGGCGGAACGCGGCGGAGGCGAGGCGUUUCCCCGUUUGGAGAAGAACCAUCGCGUCUUCCAUUAG
rnacentral:lncRNA from 1 species